UGCCAAUGUUGUAUCUUAACAAUUGCACGUAUUAUCAGAUUUUCAGUGAUGGGUAUAACUAAUGUCCGAGGCA
rfam:Arabis alpina cultivar Pajares Aa.chr1_contig_2164, whole genome shotgun sequence.